CGGCGAGUGGCGCAGCUUGGUAGCGCAACUGGUUUGGGACCAGUGGGUCGGAGGUUCGAAUCCUCUCUCGCCGACCA
rnacentral:tRNA from 2 species